rnacentral:rRNA from 1 species
GACAGAGGUGCCAAGCGUUAGGCGGAAUCACUGGGCUUAAAGCGUGUGUAGGCGGGUCGUUAAGUACCUUGUGAAAUCCCCCGGCUCAACCGGGGAACGGCUGGGUAUACUGGCGAUCUUGAGCGACCUAGGGGCAGUCGGAACAAGUGGUGGAGCGGUGAAAUGCGUAGAUAUCACUUGGAAUGCCAAAGGUGAAGACAGUCUGCUGGGGACUUGCUGACGCUGAGACACGAAAGCCAGGGGAGCGAACGGG